GUGAAGAGUAAUACGUGGGAGAAGGAGGCAUAGAGAAUAAAAAGAAACCAUGAUUCCUAUCCUGAAGAAGCUUAGAGUCUAGCUGAAGAAACAAGAUACUACAGAAUGAAAAAUCUUGAGAACAAAAUAAGCGAGGGUAAAGUAAUGCAAGGUGCGGUGGCUCACACCUGUAAUCCAGGCACUUUGGGAGGCAGAGGCAGGAGGAUCAUUUGAGGUCAGGAGUUCGAGACCUGCCUGACCAACAUGGUGAAACCCCAUCUCUACUGAAAAUAGUAAGAAUUGGCCAGGUGUGGUGGCGAACGCCUGUAAUCUCAGCUACUUGGGAGGCUGAGGCAGGAGAAUUGCUUGAACCCAGGAGGCGGAGGUUGCAGUAAGCCAAGACUGUGCCGCUGCACUCCAGCCUGGGCAACAGAGUGAGACUCCAUCUCAAAAUAAUUAAAUAAAUAAAUAAAAAUAAAACA
rnacentral:lncRNA from 10 species